rnacentral:rRNA from 1 species
UUUUUUGAGAGUUUGAUCCUAGCUCAGGAUGAACGCUGGCGGCGUGGAUAAGGCAUGCAAGUCGUGCGAGAACGUAACAUUUUGCGCAAGCAAAAUUGUACGUUCUAGCGGCGAACGGGUUAGUAACACGUGGAUUACCAACCUCAGAGACGGGUAUAAUCCCGCGAAAGCGGGACUAAUUCCCGAUAGUUUCUUUUGCUAAAAGCGGAAGAAUAAAAGAGUAAUCUGCUCUGAGAUGGGUCCGCGGCCUAUCAGGUAGUUGGUAAGGUAAUGGCCUACCAAGCCUAUGACGGGUAGGGGGUGUGAGAGCAUGUCCCCCAACAGAGGCACUGAGACACGGGCCUCACUCCUACGGGAGGCAGCAGUCGAGAAUUUUCGGCAAUGGGCGAAAGCCUGACCGAGCGACGCCGCGUGCAGGAAGAAGGUCUUCGGAUUGUAAACUGCUUUUUUUAGGGAACAAUCCCGCUUAGAGCGGGAUGAGAGUACCUAAAGAAUAAAAGGAUCCUAAUUCUGUGCCAGCAGGAGCGGUAAUACAGAAUCCUUAAGCGUUAUCCGGAAUUACUGGGCGUAAAAGGUUCGUAGGUGGUCUACUAAGUCUAAUGUUAAAGACCUUUGGCUUAACCUAAGGAAAGCAUUGGAAACUAGUAGACUAGAGAGCGUUAGAGGCCAGUGGAACACACGGUGUAGGGGUGAAAUCCGUUGAUAUCGUGUGGAACACCAAAAGCGAAGGCAACUGGCUGGGACGACUCUGACACUGAGGAACGAAAGCGUGGGGAGCAAAAAGGAUUAGAUAAAUCCUUGUCUGUAAAAUAAACAGACUAAAUGGUGUCCUCCAUAUUGGCGACAAUAUGGUGAGCAUCCAGCUGUAUCGGGGAAACCCAUUUUAGUUUAAUGGGUAAUCCCGAGGGAAGCGAGCACAUAAAGCAUUAUGUGUUUCGCCCCGUAGAGACUAUGUAAAUCAAAAAGAUAGAAAAUGAAAAAUUCAUUUUUGUCUAAAAAUUGCAAAGAUAUUAUUCUUGGUUCUUUGUUAGGAGACGGUUCGUUAAAGAUUAACGAAUAUUAUAAAAAUGCUCGUUUUUCUUUUCGCCAUUCUAUUAACCAAAAAGAAUAUUUUUUCUGGAAAAAGAAUGAAUUAAAAGAAAUUUCCGGAGAAAAUUGUUUUUGGAAAUCAGAAAUUAAAGAUGGGCUUGGCGGUCAAAAAUUACGAUAUCAAAGCUUAACAACACCAGAAUUAACAGAGUUAUAUAAUUUAACUCAUAAAAAGGGAGUAUUUAAAAUCAGCCGCAAAUGGCUUAACAUAAUAACUUCUUUAUCUUUAGCAAUAUGGUGGCUUGACGAUGGUUCCAUAAUAGGGAAUGGGAGAAAGGGCGUAUUUUGCACUGACCAUUUUCUUUACGAAGAACAAAAAAUAUUAUCCCGCUAUUUAAAGAAAGUGUGGGAUAUAAAUGUCCAUAUCGGUAAAAUAACUAGAAAAUGGGCGGACGAAGAAAAAAUAUAUUAUCGUUUAUGGAUUCGUUCAAGCGAAGAGCUUAAAAAGUUUUUGCGGAUUAUAAUGCCGCAUAUAAAAGUAGCAGAAAUGUUACCGAAGGUCUUGAUUAUUUAUAAAGACCGUGAUUUACAACAACGCUGGAUUUCUGAAGUAAAUAAAUUAACAGGUUUUUCUUUCCCAGUUAUUGAAAAAUAUCUUAAUGAAAAGAAAAGUAAGUGGAAAAACUUCAGAAAAUGAUAUAGUCCGAUCCUUCGAGUAAUCGAAGAAAUAAAAGUCUACAAGCUGACCCUUGUAGUCCACGCCCUAAACUAUGGACGCUAGCUAUUGGAAGUGUCGACCCUUUCAGUGGCGAAGCUAACGCGUUAAGCGUCCUGCCUGGGAAGUACGGUCGCAAGACUAAAACUCAAAGGAAUAGACGGGGGCUCACACAAGCGGUGGACCACGUGGCUUAAUUCGACGACAAGCGAAGAACCUUACCAGGGCUUGACAUUCCGCUAAAAGUUCCGAGAAAUCGGGAUCUACCCACAAGGAUAGCGGAACAGGUGCUGCAUGGUUGUCGUCAGCAGGUGCCGUGAGGUGCUCCCUUAAAUGGGGAAACCUGCGCAACCCUUGCCCCGCGUUUCAAGUGUCGCGGGGGACCGCCCCGCCUUGAGCGCAUUUACAAUAAAGCGAAGUGCGUUGAGGGCGGGGAGGAAGGCGAGGACGACGCCAAAUCAGCAUGGCCCUUAUGUCCUGGGCUGCACACGUGGUACAAUGGCCGGUCCAAUGGGUUUGCCAAGUCGUAAGACGGAGCUAAUCCCAUCAAAACCGGUCUCAGUUCGGAUUGAGGUCUGCAACUCGACCUCAUGAAGCUGGAAUCGCUAGUAAUCGCGGAUCAGCCACGCC